UGGAAACUGUCUGACUNGAGUGCAGAAGGGGAGAGUGGAAUUCCAUGUGUAGCGGUGAAAUGCGUAGAUAUAUGGAGGAACACCAGUGGCGAAAGCGGCUCUCUGGUCUGUCACUGACGCUGAGGCUCGAAAGCGUGGGUAGCGAACAGGAUUAGAUACCCUGGUAGUNCACGCCGUAAACGAUGAGUGCUAGGUGUUAGGCCCUUUCCGGAGCUUAGUGCCGGAGCUAACGCAAUAAGCACUCCGCCUGGGGAGUACGACCGCAAGGUUGAAACUCAAAGGAAUUGACGGGGGCCCGCACAAGCGGUGGAGCAUGUGGUUUAAUUCGAAGCAACGCGAAGAACCUUACCAGGUCUUGACAUCCCGAUGCUAUUCUUAGAGAUAGGAAGUUACUUCGGUACAUCGGAGACAGGUGGUGCAUGGUUGUCGUCAGCUCGUGUCGUGAGAUGUUGGGUUAAGUCCCGCAACGAGCGCAACCCUUAUUGUUAGUUGCCAUCAUUAAGUUGGGCACUCUAGCGAGACUGCCGGUAAUAAACCGGAGGAAGGUGGGGAUGACGUCAAAUCAUCAUGCCCCUUAUGACCUGGGCUACACACGUGCUACAAUGGUCGGUACAACGAGUUGCGAGCCGGUGACGGCAAGCUAAUCUNUGAAAGCCGAUCUCAGUUCGGAUUGGAGGCUACAACUCGCCUCCAUGAAGUCGGAAUCGCUAGUAAUCGCGGAUCAGCACGCCGCGGUGAAUACGUUCCCGGGCCUUGUACACACCGCCCGUCACACCACGAGAGUUUGUAACACCCGAAG
rnacentral:rRNA from 1 species